rnacentral:pre_miRNA from 1 species
AGUAGAAUUGCUGGGUCAUAUGGUAAAUCUAUGUUUAAUUUUUUGAGGAACCAACAUUGUUUUUUCCACAGCAACAGCACCAUUUUAUAUUCUUACCAGCAGU